rnacentral:rRNA from 1 species
UUGUGCCAGCCGCCGCGGUAAUACGGAGGGUGCAAGCGUUAAUCGGAAUUACUGGGCGUAAAGCGCGCGUAGGCGGCUUGGCAAGUUGGGUGUGAAAUCCCCGGGCUUAACCUGGGAACUGCAUUCAAAACUGCUAAGCUAGAGUACAGCAGAGGUCAAUGGAAUUUCCGGUGUAGCAGUGAAAUGCGUAGAGAUCGGAAGGAACAUCAGCGGCGAAGGCGAUUGACUGGGCUGAUACUGACGCUGAGGUGCGAAGGCGUGGGUAGCAAACAGGAUUAGAGACCCUGGUAGUCCACGCAGUAAACGAUGAGAACUAGCUGUUGGGAAGCGUCGACUUCUUAGUAGCGAAGCUAACGCGUUAAGUUCUCCGCCUGGGGAGUACGGUCGCAAGAUUAAAACUCAAAGGAAUUGCCGGGGGCCCGCACAAGCGGUGGAACAUGUGGUUUAAUUCGAAGCAACGCGAAGAACCCUACCAGGUCUUGACAUCCUCUGACAACCCUAGAGAUAGGGCUUUCCCUUCGGGGACAGAGUGACAGGUGGUGCAUGGUUGUCGUCAGCUCGUGUCGUGAGAUGUUGGGUUAGGUCCCGCAACGAGCGCAACCCUUGAUCUUAGUUGCCAGCAUUCAGUUGGGCACUCUAAGGUGACUGCCGGUGACAAACCGGAGGAAGGUGGGGAUGACGUCAAAUCAUCAUGCCCCUUAUGACCUGGCUACACACGUGCUACAAUGGACAGAACAAAGGGCUGCGAGACCGCAAGGUUUAGCCAAUCCCAUAAAUCUGUUCUCAGUUCGGAUCGUAGUCUGCAACUCGACUACGUGAAGCUGGAAUCGCUAGUAAUCGCGGAUCA